GACCGUGUGGCCGGUGGCUAGAGGUUCUAUCUUUCCCACGAUUGGCCCGCUUGUAGUAUUGACCACGGCGGUGAGGUUGAUAGAGCGCGUAAAAGCAGCACACAGAAGAAGAAGGAAGACGCGAAGGGGCCUAAAGGAAAGGCUGCCAAGAGAGGUGUGAUAUCAUUAACAUAGACUACUACUCCUUCGAACCCGGCACAAUAACGCGCCACCUUUGCGAACUGGGUUGGCAGCCACUCGAACAGUCGAAGACCGCAGGCGCACCUCAUCAUUGGUGCUCCUAAACAGUGGCCUAAAUAAUGCCUCUAUCCUGCCACUCGAAGAUCUGAGGAAACCGUCUCGCGCCUUGCCCCGCACUCAACACUCUGAAUUCUAUACUAUUCCUAACGCUAGAACUGACAUAUAUAAAAAUAGUUUUUUGCCCCGUGCACUAAGACUGUGGAACAACCUUCCACAGUCUGUUAUUGACAUGAGAGGCUGUCCAGAGGCCUUCCACGCUGGGCUUUAGACUCGGUAUUGCGCUGCGCACUGACAUAUUGUAUAAUAUUGCGCAAUUUAUUAAAGUGAAGUGAAGUGA